rnacentral:lncRNA from 1 species
UCCAGUCAGCUUUCUGAUCCAGUUUCAAGGCCAGGUAGUUGUCCGAUUUCAAACAAAGAGCAAUGCAAUCCGAUUUCAAGUCAAGAACAGUGCAGUUCUCUAAAUUUCAGUCAAGAUCAACUGGUCUCGGCAACUUCUGAUCAGAAUCAUAUUGUGAACAGUUCUCCCUCUCCUUCACAAGUCCCUCAAGCUCAAGUAUUACCCGAGGUAAUUUCUAACCCCUCUUUGUCUACUAGUAAUGUGUCCACCAAACAAUUGCCUAAUCGUGUAACUCGUGGUCAACCCCCUAAGCAUUAUAAGCCUACGUACCCUCAGUGCAAAAUCUAAGUAUCUUGUUGCUAAUUAUGUGUCUACUCAUAGACUGUCUAAACUAUAUGUAGCCUUUGUGAAUCAAUUAUCUUCUGUGUCUCUUCCUAGUAAAGUGCAGCAUGCAAUGAAGGAUGAGAAGUGGAUGAAAGCAAUGACAGUUGAGAUGGAUGCGC